GCCCGGAUGGCGAAACUGGCAGACGCACGGGACUUAAAAUCCCGGGUCCCUAACAGGACGUACCGGUUCGAUUCCGGUUCCGGGCACCA
rnacentral:tRNA from 1 species